rnacentral:rRNA from 1 species
GUAGUCCACGCCGUAAACGAUGGAUGCUAGCCGUUGGGGGUUUACCCUUCAGUGGCGCAGCUAACGCAUUAAGCAUCCCGCCUGGGGAGUACGGUCGCAAGAUUAAAACUCAAAGGAAUUGACGGGGCCCGCACAAGCGGUGGAGCAUGUGGUUCAAUUCGAAGCAACGCGCAGAACCUUACCAGCCCUUGACAUGUCCCGUAUGGGUUUCAGAGAUGAGACCCUUCAGUUCGGCUGGCGGGAACACAGGUGCUGCAUGGCUGUCGUCAGCUCGUGUCGUGAGAUGUUGGGUUAAG